GGGGCCGUAAAGGUUUCGACGGGGGCGAUGAACCCGAUUAAGCACGCAGAGAGCGCCUUAUCUCUUUAAACGGGGCACUUUUAAAAUUAAACGCAGACAAUAGAUCUGAAUUAGCAGCUGCCUAAGCGCACUGCCGUCCGCAUGAGAAGCGCUGCGGUCUCAUCCCGGGCGUCGAACAGCAGCCAACGUUUUAAGCGAGAGCCUUGCAGCUUUUAACGCACCUAAAGGGCUACCAAACGUCUAUCCUGUGUAUCGGAGCGGCGCGAGGGAAAUUUAAAUGAUAUACUAAGCGUGUAGAAAGAUUGGCGGAUUUGUUUUCGGACAGGAGUUCGAUUCUCCUCGGCUCCACCA
rnacentral:tmRNA from 1 species